AGUUUCUUUAGUUUAACAAGGGAAGCUUCGAGACUAAUAUAUUUCUGGUUUUAUUUUGGAUUAUUUAGAAAGAAGGACACCUCAUUCAAAGAAAUAUGGUGUCGCUAAAUCCAGUACAGAUCUUUAAUGCAGGAGCAGAGGAGGAAAAGGCAGAAACUGCUCGAUUGUCCUCAUUUGUUGGAGCCAUUGCUAUUGGAGAUCUGGUUAAAAGCACACUUGGCCCAAAAGGAAUGGACAAAAUUUUACAAAGCUCCGGUGGAAUACAAGUAACUAAUGAUGGAGCUACUAUCCUGAAAUCCAUUGGAAUUGACAACCCAGCAGCAAAAAUCUUAGUUGACAUCUCAAAAGUCCAAGACGAUGAGGUAGGGGACGGGACCACAUCAGUCGUAGUGCUGGCCAGUGAACUGCUGAGAGAGUCCGAGGCGUUGAUUUCCCAGAAGAUCCACCCUCAGACAAUCAUCACAGGCUGGAGGAAGGCCACAGAUGAGGCCCGGCGGGCCCUACAGAGCUUUGCCCGGGACAAUGGAAACAACGAGGCCAAAUUUCGAGAAGAUCUGAUGAACAUCGCCCGCACCACCCUCAGCUCCAAGAUCCUCACCCAGUACAAGGAUUACUUCUCCAAGCUAGCCGUGGAUGCAGUUCUCAGGUUAAAGGGCAGUGGCAAUCUAGAUGCAAUUCACUUAAUCAAGAAAUCUGGAGGAGGAUUACAAGACUCGUAUUUAGAUGAAGGUUUCUUGUUGGAUAAGAAAAUUGGAGUAAACCAACCUAAGAGAAUUGAAAAUGCCAAGAUCUUAGUCGCCAAUACACCUAUGGACACAGACAAAAUUAAGGUAUUUGGAAGCAAAGUGAAAGUAGAUGCUGUCUCAAAAGUCGCUGAACUAGAAUUAGCAGAAAAGGAAAAGAUGAGAGACAAAGUCAACAAAAUCAUCAAGCAUGGCUGUAAUGUGUUCAUCAAUAGGCAAUUAAUCUAUAACUACCCUGAGCAGUUGUUUGCUGAUGCCGGGGUGAUGGCCAUUGAACAUGCAGACUUUGAAGGAGUGGAGAGAUUGGCAUUAGUUACAGGUGGUGAAAUUGUGUCCACGUUUGACGCCCCUGAGAGCGUUCGUCUAGGAAAAUGUAAGCUGAUUGAAGAAGUGAUGAUUGGCGAGGACAAACUCAUUAAGUUCUCUGGAGUGGAGAUGGGGGAGGCUUGUACCAUUGUACUGAGGGGCGCCACCAAACAGAUCCUGGACGAGGCUGAGCGGUCCCUCCACGACGCCCUGUGUGUCCUGACCCAGACUGUGAAGGAAACCAAGACUGUGUUCGGUGGAGGAAGUGCCGAGAUGCUGAUGGCUGAUGCUGUCUCUAAGCUGGCAGCAAAGACUCCUGGGAAGGAAGCUGUGGCCAUGGAGGCUUAUGCCAAGGCUUUGAGAAUGGUAUGUUACUCUUUCUUCUAAUUUUGUUUAAAAAGUGUAUAUUAAAGUAUAGGUGUGGUAAAAAAGAAGACAAAGAGAACAUGACUGAAAUGUCCCCAUUUCCAAUUCAUCUAUUUUUUAUCAUUUCUCUUUGACUAUUGGUUUGAGAAAGGGUUUAGUUGACUGAUGCAACUCUUCAGAUAAAUCCAACAUCUAUGGUUUAUUAAGUGUUUGUGGAGGAUUGGCUAACAAACCAUUUUUUUUUUCCAGCUACCUACCACCAUUGCUGACAAUGCUGGAUAUGACAGUGCCCAGCUGGUCUCAGAACUAAGGGCUCUACACACAGCAGGGAAACACACCAUGGGACUAAACAUGAAGGAAGGCGAGGUAGGAGACAUGGAGAAGCUCGGGAUCACCGAAUCCUUCCAGGUGAAGCGUCAGGUGUUGAUGAGUGCCUCGGAGGCCGCCGAAAUGAUCCUACGUGUCGAUGACAUCAUCAAAGCGGCUCCGCGACCACGACAACCCGAUCAUAGGCACCACUAGGUUACAUUGUGUUGGAUAGUGACAUCUGAUGCUUGAACUUGUGAACAAAUUUAUAAUAUUAAAAACCCUUUCAUUGUAUACGUAAUAUUUAACCAUUUUUUUGGUACAUGAACUGAAUAAAACAAAAAUCUGUCU
rnacentral:misc_RNA from 1 species